UCUCCCUCUCUCUCUACCUCUCCCUCGAUUUCUCCCUCUCCUUCCCUCUCUCUCCCUCCAUCCAUCUCUCUCCUCUCUUUCUCCAUCCAUCUCUUCCUCUCUCCCUCUCUCCAUCUCUCCCUCUCUCUCUCCCUCCAUCCAUCUCUCUCCUCUCUUUCUCUCUCUUCCUCCAUCCAUCUCUUCCUCUCUCUCCCUCUCUCUCCCUCCAUCCAUCUCUCUCCUCUCUUUCUCCAUCCAUCUCUCUCCCUCUCUCUCUACCUCUCCCUCUAUCUCUUUCUCUCUCUCCCUCUCUCUCUCUCUCUCUCUCUCUCUCUCUCUCUCUCCCUCCUCUUUCUAUAUUCCCUCCCAAGCUGUGUUGGUGUGAUUGACACACUGCAUGCAUGUUGUUGAAUGUUGUGUGUGUGUGUGUGUGUGUGUGAAUGUGUUAUUAGUGUGUGUGUGUGAAGGGGUGU
ensembl:lncRNA